ensembl:snRNA
AAUAAGGGCUUCUGUUGUGAGUGGCACACAUACGGCUCCUUGACUGAUCUUCCAUGUGGAAUCGACAUCAAGGGACUUCAGAAGCAUAAUUUUUGUUGCUAGGGCAGCUGGUGAUCAUUGGUCUUGGUGCCCUU